rnacentral:rRNA from 1 species
AUGCGGUACAGUCUCGGGGAUGGGAGGAAUGAUGAGAAUGUCAUGCUCACACGGGCUCAAUGGUUGGCGCUGGACUCAAGGAGAGGAGGCGAGGGCUCUAGCAGCAACACUCGCCAAGAUCGUGUGCCAAAAGAACAAUGUACGAAGAACGCCGGCAACAGCGCUCCGAAGAAGAAGAAGUUCGACAAGCGCAAGAUCAAGUGUCACAAUUGUGGCAUCAUGGGGCACUUCAAGUCGGAGUGCAAGAAACCACCGAAGGAGAAAGCUCUCAUGGCCAAAGGAGGCGAUGAUGGAGACAUGAUGCUCAUGGUCGAAGUAUGUGAGCUAAUGGAUGAGGAUACUCCAGCUCCAAAGGCGCCGGCUACAGAGGUCGUCACGCUCAUAGAGGAGGCAGUUUAUCUUCACGAUAAGAAGAGGAUGAACACGUCGAGGCACGUGUGGUACCUCGACACGGGCGCUAGCAACCACAUGAUCGGCGACAAGGACCAGUUUUCUGAGCUCAGUGUUUCGGUGGGAGGCACGGUUCGGUUUGGUGAUGACCGGACCGUUGACAUCGCAUGGCGAGGUACUGCCCUGUUUGAGUUGAAGAAUGGCGGUCACAAGGUAGUCACAGAUGUGUACUAUAUUCCCAAGCUAAAGAGUAGCAUCAUAAGUCUUGGCCAGCUCGAGAAGCGUGGUUGCAAGAUUGUGCUCGAAGAUGGCUUUCUAUGGGGGUAUGAUCAUCAGAGGAUGUUGAUUAUGAAGGUGCAGAGGUCACCAAACAGGCUCUACGUCCUCAACUUGGAUCGUGUGGAUCCGGUAUGUCUCCUGUCGAGCAUGGACGACUCAGCAUGGAAGUGGCACGCACGAUACGGUCAUCUAAAUUUCCAGGCUCUUCGGCAACUUGGACAAAAGGAGAUGGUAAGUGGUCUACCGUGCAUCAAUCAUGUCGACCAAGUGUGCGACGGUUGUCUCAUUGGGAAACAAAGGUGA